rnacentral:lncRNA from 1 species
GGUUAAUAAUCUAAAUCUUCCAAUACCAGGGUUUUUCUAUGAGGACAAUCAUAUCCACUUAGUUGUUAAAGCAACACCAUUGAGUCAUUGACCAGCUUUUCUUCUUUUAUAAUUUUGAAUCAUAUUUUAGCUAAAAAGCUCAUAAAAACAACCACACAUUUAUUUUUAUUUAUUUCAAAAAAUAAAAAGAACAAGCCUUCAUGCAGUAGCUACGCUCAUAGUCCAUAUAUAACAACAAUCCCAACUCAGGGUCAGGAUUCCUGAGUUAAAAAUAAUUAUAUACAUUAAUUAGGUUCAUUUAAUCUGCUAUGUCAAGCUAGCUAAACCAUGGUGGAAAUUGUGAAUAAUUUUUUUUGGGAGUUUGUAAAUUAUUUUU